rnacentral:rRNA from 1 species
UCCUACGGGGCGCAGCAGUGGGGAAUAUUGCACAAUGGGGGAAACCCUGAUGCAGCGACGCCGCGUGAGUGAAGAAGUAUUUCGGUACGUAAAGCUCUAUCAGCAGGGAAGAAAAUGACGGUACCUGACUAAGAAGCCCCGGCUAACUACGUGCCAGCAGCCGCGGUAAUACGUAGGAUGCGAGCGUUAUCCGGAUUUAUUGGGUUUAAAGGGUGCGUAGGCGGAAUGCCAAGUCAGCGGUAAAAUCGCGGGGCUCAACCUCGCUCCGCCGUUGAAACUGGCGUUCUUGAGUGGGCGAGAGGCAU